GGGGGCGUAGUUCAGAUUGGUUAGAACGCCGGCCUGUCACGCCGGAGGUCGCGAGUUCGAUCCUCGUCGCUCCCGCCA
rnacentral:tRNA from 1 species